GUGCGUUUUCUUUUUGACUUGGGCUGGUGAUCAUCCUCCAAGGCUGUAAUUGUUAAACACCCUUGAAGUUUGUUUGCAGCUUGUACCAAGGGAUCUGUAGGUGGUCGUACACGCUUCCUUCUUGCUGACCGUUUUGCUCUGGUUUGCUUCACAAUGAGUUUGGACUGGGUGUCAGAAUCUAGAGUAUCCUCUACCCGGAGAGAAUUCGUUUGAAUUCUAUCAGAGCCAGCAAAAUUUAAUUGAAGUUUAUGACACCGUUUUCUUCACUCGGCCUCUCCUAGAAUUUCAGUGCUCCCUUGCGAACCACUCAUGGGUUUCCUUCCAGGGUUUUAGUGAAACAUACAAUGACACUCAUUCUCUCAACAAGGACCAAGCCAUGACAGAAAAGAUUGCAGCAGAUGCAUUCUACAAUGGAGAGAUUGAGAAUGAAAUUAGGUUUCUUGUACUAGCAACCAAUCCUACUUUUUCCCUAACCUUCAAACGAGACAGUGACAGAGAGGAAACAAUGGAAAUGAUUGAAACAAUUCGCUCAUGCAGUAUAUAUACCCUCACUGUGAAACUGACUGCACUGCUGUUUGCAAGAA